GCCUGGGUGGCUCAGUUGGUUAAGCGGCUGACUUCUGUUCAGGUCAUGAACUCAUGGGUUGUGGAUUCAAACCCCACAUCGGGUU
rnacentral:tRNA from 1 species